AUGAAGCAAUUACAGACUCAAAUUUAAUUAAAUUCUGUAUUCUUUCAAGAUUCUGGCUUAAUUGUUUGAUUUCGGCAAGAUACUGUACAGACGAUUCUGAUGCGGAUACAUCAGUAAUAAGGGCGGAACAUUUAGCUUGUGAAUCCAAAACUGCCUCCUCAAGUGAAUCAACUGUUGAUUCCAACAUUGUCGGCAAAGUCCCGUUAAUCAUAUGCGACGAUGGGGAAAAACCAAUGCUACGAGGACUAUCCCUGCUAAGCCUUUGUGGGGAGAAAAUUUUGUCAAAGCUUUCACUUCCAAGGUUGCUGAGUUGGUAUAU
rnacentral:misc_RNA from 1 species